UAUCAUCAUUAUUAUCCAAAUACACCAUUGGCAAACCUAUAGAUAAUGCAGACAGCUCUGAAAAUUAUCUAACUGUAUGUUUCAAGAGGUUUUCAGAUUUGAGAAUCUUUACCGCUGAUGGUGUAUUAAUGAUCUUUAAGAGUGAUAUUUUUAAUGCAGCAUGCCAACGUCUUGCUUAAAUCGUCUGAAGUUCUUGUCUAUUUCUUGCCUAUGAAAGUGAAUUAUUGUUGGCAUCUGGUUAUUAUGGUAUAAACAUUCGUUUCGUUGUUACAUUAACAUCACAAGAAUCAUUUAGAAUUUAAAACAACACCAGGAUACAUAAAUGUCGUUUAAAUUGUAUUGAUUGUAGAGGAGAAAUUAGUUCAGAAUACGAGCAAUAUAUACUGUUUUCAAUAGGAAAUAAAUUUAUGUGUUCUUAUUUAGAAAAUAAUAAAAAUGCGUAUUGUGAAAAGGAUAUUUAUUUCUAUAUCUCUGAUAGUAAUAGGUAUUUUGGUGAUGAUAACCAUCCUGCAGCAGAACUUGUUUCAAGACCUCUUCACAAGUUAUUACAGUUUUAUUAAAAUGUAUAACAUUUCCGACACGAAUUUAGAAGAUGCAGCUUCUUGUCUUCGAACGAAAACGGACCCUGCAUUUAUCAUUUGCAUAUAUGAUAUAGGACGAGAUAUCUUCAUUUCAAAUUCAUUAAAUUCAUCCGGCCUAUGGGAACCAAAAAUGACGAAACUGUUUCAGGACAUUCAGAGACGAAACCGAAAUAUUACAGUGAUAGAUGUCGGGGCCAAUAUUGGAUACUUUAGUUUACUUUCCGCCGCGCUCGGUCAUCAGGUCAUAGCCAUUGAACCGAUUAAAAGAAAUCUUCAGAUAUUUGCAAAAGCGAUUAUUCUAAAUAACCUUUCAAGGAAAAAUCACAGUACUUCAAAAUGCCAUAUCUAAUGAACGACGCCACGUGCGCUUGAACUUGCCAAGUGCUACUAAUCAAGGGGCAGCAAGAGUUUUAACCGACGAUGAAAUUCUUUUCAGUACGAAUACCAUUGCAGCAUCCAGUAUUUUGUUAGAUGACGUGGUGAAUUUCAUCCACACUAAAGAUGUCAUGAUCAAAAUUGACAUAGAAGGACAUGAAUGCAAAUCUAUUGAAAACUCCGACGUUUUGUUUGAAACAUUCCGUGUGCUGUAUGUUAUGACCGAAUGGAGUAAAAUGACGUCAGAAAAACAUCGUUAUGGAGUCGCGUGCCGGCCAGAAAACAUUCAGAAGACGGCAGAAACGCUAACUAUGCGGGGCUUUGUCCCAUAUGACGUAUCAAGUAAUGAACAGCUGGAUCCUAAACAUAGUUCUAAAUGGAGGCAUAAUGACAUUUUCUGGAAACAUAAAACUGUGAUAAGUUGAGUCAUGAUAACUUUAUUUUAAGCAUGAUAGAGUUGUGAAAUAUUAUUAUUAUAUUCUACACAUACCUUCAAAAGUUAGCAACCGUCAAUAGAGAAACGAACGUGGACGACUUUGUUUAAAGAGGCACAAUUAAAGGAAGAAAAAAACGUAAAUGGUGACUGGCCGAAACUGGAACAUAGAUAAAAUAAAUAGCAAGUUGAUGACGUCAAUAAGACUUUACAGGAAAACACAACAAACCAGGUGUGUGCAUAUCAAUACUUAAUAUUUAAGAUAAUGAAGUUUAUAAAUAUGCUGGCACAUGAAAAUGUAUAAUUGAAAACUGAUAGAUUCUAACAUGAUGACGAACUUCCAUAAUAAACCAAUGAACAUAACUAGUCCAUUAGAAAGCACAUUCGCAAUUUAUAGAUCAAAUUGUUUAGACAAUGGUUAUGUACAAAAUGCAACUUUGUUUUUGAAAAGUGACUUUCAUGCCAUAAAGUUUUCGGCGUUCUACAUAUCCAUAUAAAAACAUUUCACGGUUUACCUUGUGCUGGCCAAGCUCAAGUGCCAUAACUUUUGUCAAUUUGUCAACAGCAGCCUUUGUUGCACAAUACACGAGAUGUCCAUCAAUACCCUGUAGAGAAGCUGCACAUGACACAUUAACAAUAACACCGCCUGUCUUUCUAUCUACCAUUGACUGUGCAAUAACCUGACAUAAAAUAUCCCGUAUUUA
rnacentral:lncRNA from 1 species